UCCCUGAUAGCUCAGUUGGUAAAGAAUCUGCCUGCAAUGCAGGAGACCCUGGUUUGAUUCCUGGGUUGGGAA
rfam:TPA: Bos taurus chromosome 18, whole genome shotgun sequence.